CUUAUAUAUUUUUUUCCUUUUUUAUAUUGAUUAGCAUGUGAUUGCAUGUACAAAUUUUUUCAGUACAAAUGUAUGCAUAAAGCUGUUAACACUUGAUGGACGUACUUUUCAUUACAAUUAGUGUGAUAUUUCAGUGAUUUUGCUCUCAGUGAAUUAAGUAUAUAAAUGAUUAUACAUUUUGGACUCAGUAAUUUAUAUGAUGUUAUACAUAAUUACUAAGAUUAUAUAAGAUGAUAUGAGCAAUUGAAGUGAACUUACAGCACUUCAUGGAAUAAGGUACUAAGCUCAUAUAUAUAUUUGUACAGUGAUAUUGAUGUAAAAUAUACUUGUCAAAGAUUUUUGGUCAAAAAUCUUUUUGGAGUGUGGGGCGUAUGUCACAGUCCAGUUUUAGAACCUCUGUGACAUGAUGUGACACUCAGUCACCCAUUGUAAUAUUCUGUGCUGAGAACACGUGAAUAAGUUAAAGGACUCUAAAAUAAGGGUCAAUGUUAACUAGUUAGUGAAGAACUCCAGCAGAGAUUGGAUGUACGAUUUUCUCUGUCUGUAAUACGUACCUUAAUGAAUUUGAUCUUAUGUUAACUUGAGAGAUUUCUUCGGACUUAUAUUGUGAACAUUUCAUUGAUGUGAUUACCUAUUCUACAUGGCAUGAGCAGCCAGUAUUUAUUGGUUUAUAUUUUGUGACGGCUGAAGUCGCCAGUAUAUUUUGUGAAUUAUAUUUUAUGUAUAAUAAAAUUAUCGUCUGCUACAAGAGCAUUUAUUAAUGUUUCGGAACGUUUGUGCUUGAAGAGUUCAGUACGCUAGUAUACGCACGCACCUGCAAAUAUAGUGCGUAUGAGAGAGUAUCUACUUAAGGAACAAUACCUACAACACACGGACACAUUCACGUCGUCACGCCUACAACUAAAACUAGGCAGCGACAAUUGUCCUUUUAAUUUUCUAAUCACAUCUUGUGAUGUUGUUGUUGAAAGAUAAUCAUACUCAGUAAAAUUAGAGUAAUAAUCAACAGUAAUUAGAUACCGUCUUCCAUCCACUUCCAUCAGGUCAGCUCCAACUUUUUCCCAUGGAACAUUUCCUUCAUCAUGUUGUAUAAGUGUUUCUCUCUGGUUCAUAGGUUUUCUUUCUUGACAAGCAGUGCAUGUCUGCCAUCUGCUUUAUUUCAUCAGCCAUGCCUGGCCAGAAUAUCGUCUGUUGGGGCCUCCUCAUCAUUCCAUCAUAUGCAAUGUGUGCUGUGUGCAGGUUUUUCUUCAUUUCUUGACGCAUACUGAAAGGCCCCUUCAUAUGUUGACCUAACAAAGUCAAAGUUGCCAAGGAGAGUUGAGUAAAUAGAAGCGCAAAAGUUUCAUUUAUUAACUUUUAAAGCAAUAACACAGUUGAAUGUUCAAGUAUCCACCAGAUAGAUGAAUGUUCAAGUAUCCACCAGACAGUUGAAUGUUCAAGUAUCCACUAGACAGAUGAAUGUUCAAGUAUCCACCAUUUCAUUAAUUAUCAUAUUUCUCUUUUAGGAAAAUGUUUCUGUUUUCACUUUAUUUUAUUUUGUACCAGUCUAUUAUUUUGUACCAUUAAAAAUUUAUAUUUUAUGUUAGUAAAAAAGAUGUUUGAAAUUUUGUAGCAAAAUUUAAAAAAAAAAUCUCCUCUAUAUAUAUUAAAAUAGUAAUUUACUCAACCUUGGAAUCCUAUCACUGAACUGGGAAAGCUAGCUUUGAUUGUUUUUGUUGUUGUAAAUAUCCAUAUGGAUAGUGUGUAUAUUAUGCAAAGGUUGAUUAUUAGCUGUUAAGGUUGGAAUUUUCCUUUUUUUAAUUUUUACAUGAUUUCAAUGUUAAAUACCACUGUAGUUGUCUUUCUGAUAAUGAUGCUAUGAUGUGGUCUUGGUAUAUUUUUUCUGUGAUUAGAUGUUGUAACAUAUAGAUAUUGACAAUGUACAAAGUUUAUAUACAACCAAGUUCAUACAUUAAUCUAUUUCACAAUCAUACAAACUAUAAACUGUGUAAAGCUUUUUGUUAUUAUUAAAAAUAUAAACUGUAAAGUAUUGGAUGCUAAAAUGCAUUUGAAUUGAUUCUUCCCGAGCUAUACUUUAUUGCUUCUUCAUUUUGUGUGUGCACAAUCUAUUGAAUUAAUAAUGUAAUUUUUUGUGAGAUGAUUUGUGUUGGUCACAUGUAUAAGUCAUUAGUUUCUAUCAUGAUUUUUUAAAAAGUAUUUGUGUAAAACCACAGAGGUUUCAUUAAAUUUGUACUUUAUUAAUUUUUUAUUUUACAUUUUUGUUAAGUUUUAAUUUUACUUACAAGCUGAAUUUGUAUACGUAGCUAUGAUUUGAUUUGAUGGAAUUCUUCUUUUUAUAAAAUUUUACAUGGUCUAAGGUUUUUGAGUUCAUUGAAGCUUUUUUUCAAAACUGUCUGAAGAGUUGAACUGAAGGCUUGUGAAACAAUAGGCCAGCAAAAAAUAACAAAAGCUUCCUCUCACCAGCCUGACUGAAAUGAUUGUUCUGUCUGGAAGAGAUCCUACUUGGUGUCUGUAUCACACUACUAUUUCCAAUGCUUCAGAAGCUCCAGACACGGGGGCUAGAGAUUGGCAGACUGCUAAGCACACCAAGAACUCCUGCCAUCUUCCUGCUCUUUACCACACUCAACAAUCCCCAUUCCAUUUGUGAAACAGAAUGUUGGGAUUGUUGACAUGGUCAUAAAGACUCUCUUCCCAACCAAGACUUGAGCACUGCUUUUCCAUUCCUAAUGAAGUCUUGUUUUCUUACUUCCUUGAAGCCUAAUUGUUUUGACCCAGGGGUGGGGGGGCACUAUGUUGUAGACUGGGAUGUUUGCUUUCUGACAGCAUUGUAGAAUAAUUAUAUUGUAAUAAAAUAUUUUUCAAAUAAAAAAAUUAAAUGAAACAAAACCUACAUCUUGGCUAUUAAAAUCCAGGUUAAUACUGCUAUUUGUUAUAUAAUGUAUGUGUCACUGUCAUGAGAUGUAUACAUUGGAUGCUUACAUAAACAUUGGUUUUGUGAAACAUCAGUCAAUUGUAUUUAUGACCCUACUCUAAAUGGCCUAGAAUGUUGAACAUAAGAGUACCAGUUCAAUGUUAGAGAAAAUAAUAGUAAGUAGGGGAGACAAUAAAAGAGUUUUAAUAUGUUC